UACAGAGGUCUCAAGCGUUGUUCGGAUUCAUUGGGCGUAAAGGGUGCGUAGGCGGUUUGUUAAGUCGGAUGUGAAAUCCCUCGGCUCAACUGAGGAAGUGCAUCCGAAACUGGCAGGCUUGAGUACUAAAGAGGGUCGCGGAAUUCCCGGUGUAGAGGUGAAAUUCGUAGAUAUCGGGAGGAACACCGGUGGCGAAGGCGGCGACCUGGUAGAUACUGACGCUGAGGUGCGAAAGCGUGGGGAGCAAACAGG
rnacentral:rRNA from 1 species